GUCAACUUUAGUUACGUACUUCGUGCCAACAUUUGACCAUUUGUAUUAUUUGAAAAAUUUAUUAAAUAAUUAAAAAAAUCACACAUAAAGUAUUGUUCAUGUUUUAUUAUCUAAUAACAAUAAAAAUACUAAUCAUAAAAACAAUUUAAAUAAAACGGACAGUCAAACGUUGGACACCGAAACCCACAACUGCGCUUAAA
rfam:Oryza glaberrima chromosome 8 Oglab08_0053_4, whole genome shotgun sequence.